UACGUAGGGUGCAAGCGUUGUCCGGAAUUAUUGGGCGUAAAGAGCUCGUAGGCGGCUUGUCACGUCGACUGUGAAAACCCGGGGCUCAACUCCGGGCCUGCAGUCGAUACGGGCUGGCUUGAGUGCGGUAGGGGAGACUGGAAUUCCUGGUGUAGCAGUGAAAUGCGUAGAUAUCAGGAGGAGUACCGAUGGCGAAGGCAGGUCUCUGGGCUGACACUGACGCUCAUGCACGAAAGCGUGGGGAGCAAACAGG
rnacentral:rRNA from 1 species